AUAGUGUCAUAUUCCUACUCUCUGGGGAGCUUCCUUAUUGCAUGAAACAAGAAUGAAAUCCUUGUUGCUUUUCCUUUCCCUGCUCUAUGUCCCCUCCUGUGUCCUCUCUCAGGUGCAGCUGGUCGAGUCUGGCCCGGGGACGGUGAAGCCCGGAGAGACCCUCACCCUGAGCUGCGCUGUCUCCGGGGUCUCCAUCUCUACUCAGUAUUACUACUGGAGCUGGAUCCGGCAGCCCCCCGGGAAAGGGCUGGAGUGGAUGGGGUACGUGUACCCGUAUAGUAGCGGGAGCACAAGCUACGCCCCGUCUCUCCAGGGCCGAGUCACCAUCUCUGCAGACACCGCCAAGAGCCAGUUCUCCCUGCAGCUCCGCUCGCUGACAGCUGCGGACACCGCCACCUAUUACUGCGCCAGGGGAGACACAGUGACCCAGAGCAAAGCAGGGACCAUACAAAAAGAGGAAGCUGGUUCUAAGCAGCCGAGCUGUACCCGGAGAGACAAUACACAGCCCAUGGGUCUGUGCAGUGACCAGCCAGUCCCCUGA